CAGAGGACAUUUUGAGUCGGAUGCAUUUUACGCGUUCACAAUGACGGCAUGAAAGUGUAUUAUCUACGUCAAUAUUCCGUCGGUUGAAAAACGAUUACUGGCGAUGAAAGACAAAGCGACGUGCAAAAUGUAGUAAAGUUCCGGUCGUUUUAUACGUGAACGAAAAUUACGUAAUUGCUGGUACUAUCUCAACCUCUCGGCACCCGUUUCCGA